rnacentral:rRNA from 1 species
AAGACUAAAAGAUUAAGUUAUUCCCGUCGGCUAUAAAAAGUAAGCUAAAACUUUAUUAACUAGUAUUCUAUAAAAUUAUAGAGAAGUAGAAUUUGAAUAUAAUAAAACACCUUCUAAAUGCUACAUUUUACGAAUCUUUGACAUUUUUAAAUGAAACUGGGAUUAGAUACCCCACUAUUUUUAAACAUAAAUUAGCAUUAUGCUGGCCCGGGGACUACUAGUUAUUACUUAAAACUCAAAGAACUUGGCGGUGCAUUAGACUCCUCAGGGGAACCUGUCUCGUAAUCGAUGAUCCACGUUAAUACUUCACCUUAUGUUUGUAAUUCAGCCUGUAUACCGUCGUCGAAAGCUAACUUUAAAGAAAACAUAAGUUAACCUAAAAUUUAUAUGAAAUUCCACGUCAGAUCAAGGUGCAGCUUAUACUAAGGGGAGGAUGGGUUACAAUAUUGAACUUAUUAUGGAUUAAAUUUGAAAUCAUUUUUAAGAAAAAGGACUUGAAAGUAAACAUUUUUAUAAAAAUUUGUUGAAUAUAGCUCUAAUGUGUGC